GACGAACGCUGGCGGCGUGCCUAAUACAUGCAAGUAGAACGCACAGUUUAUACCGUAGCUUGCUACACCAUAGACUGUGAGUUGCGAACGGGUGAGUAACGCGUAGGUAACCUGCCUGGUAGCGGGGGAUAACUAUUGGAAACGAUAGCUAAUACCGCAUAAUAUUGAUUAUUGCAUGAUAAUUGAUUGAAAGAUGCUAUUGCAUCACUACCAGAUGGACCUGCGUUGUAUUAGCUAGUAGGUGAGGUAACGGCUCACCUAGGCGACGAUACAUAGCCGACCUGAGAGGGUGAUCGGCCACACUGGGACUGGGACACGGCCCAGACUCCUAAGGGAGGCAGCAGUAGGGAAGCUUCGGCAAUGGACGAAAGUCUGACCGAGCAACGCCGCGUGAGUGAAGAAGGUUUUCGGAUCGUAAAGCUCUGUUGUAAGAGAAGAACGGGUGUGAGAGUGGAAAGUUCACACUGUGACGGUAUCUUACCAGAAAGGGACGGCUAACUACGUG
rnacentral:rRNA from 1 species